rnacentral:tRNA from 1 species
GCCCAGAUGCCGGAGCGGUCUAACGGAACGGUCUCGAACACCGUGUCCUUCGGGACUCCCAGGUUCGAAUCCUGGUCUGGGCG